rnacentral:rRNA from 1 species
UUCCUACGGGGGGCAGCAGUGAGGAAUAUUGGUCAAUGGGCGGAAGCCUGAACCAGCCAAGUCGCGUGAGGGAUUAAGGCCCUAUGGGUCGUAAACCUCUUUUGUCAGGGAGCAAGGUCGUCCACGUGUGGGCGUAUGGAGAGUACCUGAAGAAAAAGCAUCGGCUAACUCCGUGCCAUCAGCCGCGGUAAUACGGAGGAUGCGAGCGUUAUCCUGAUUUAUUGGUUUUAAAGGUUGCGUAGUCGGGACCUUAAGUCAGCGGUAAAAUUGCGGUGCUCAACGCCGUAGA